rnacentral:lncRNA from 1 species
GGCAGGAUCCUUGGCCUGUCCACCAGUGGGCGGUGCCACUUCCAGAACGCAUCAACAGGGAUCUGCCACUGACCUCACUGUUGGCAUGCCACCAAAACCUGAAACUUCAGCUGCAAGCCACCCAAGAGAAGGCACCUGAGCUGUCAUCCAGUCUCACCAAACCAGCGCCAACCCUCAGGUGGGGAUGAGUGGAGCAGGACAAACCUUUCAGAUCCGCCCGGUGAU